rnacentral:rRNA from 1 species
AUGCAGCAUGCAGCAGCUUUGCUUGGCUUCUCAGCUGCUGACCUCCUCCUGCAUAUCCGAGGAGCUGCCGCCGCUUGUGACGCAGCUGGAAGACGACGACGACGGCGAUGGCGGCAUCGUGCGGCGCGCGUCGGUGCCGUGGAUGCCCGGCGUUUGUAUGUUGGACGACGACGACGACCUGUCCCUUUGAAAGAUCCGGCACACUACCCACUCUUCAGUUCCAGCCCCAGCCAAGCAGCAACGCUGCAAGUUGCGAUGAUCGUCUUAAUUAAGCACACCUUUUCCAUUCCAGCAACAACAAUUGAUGGCAGAUAUGCAAUGCAAGCAUGCAGCACAAGGAAAAAAAAAGAAUCCGAUGCAAAAUGA